rnacentral:tRNA from 1 species
UGGGAUGUAGCUCAUUGGUAGAGUGCUUGCCUAGCAUGUGUGCAGCCCUGGGUUCAAUCCCCAGUAUUGUAG